GACGUAGGGCGCGAGCGUUGUCCGGAUUUAUUGGGCGUAAAGCGCUCGUAGGCGGCUCAUCGCGUCAACCGUGAAAACCAGCAGCUCAACUGUUGGCUUGCGGUUGAUACGGGUGGGCUGGAGUUCGGUAGGGGAGACUGGAAUUCCUGGUGUAGCGGUGAAAUGCGCAGAUAUCAGGAGGAACACCCGUGGCGAAGGCGGCCAACUGGGCCGACCCUGACGCUGAGGCGCGAAGGCGUGGGGAGCGAACGGG
rnacentral:rRNA from 1 species